AAACAUCGCCUCUUGAAAGCCAUGAGAGGUCCAGCCUGCCCAGUGACAUUGUUCAACGGCCGCGGUAUCCUAACCGUGCGAAGGUAGCGUAAUCACUUGUCCUUUAAAUGGGGACUAGUAUGAAUGGCAUCACGAAGGUUAUACUGUCUCCUUUUUCCAAUCAGUGAAACUAAUCUUCCCGUGAAGAAGCGGGAAUAUAUUUAUAAGACGAGAAGACCCUAUGGAGCUUUAAACAAAACAACAUUUGCUAUCACACACGCCAAUUUCAGAAAAUCAACCUUUAUUUUUAGCACUAUAAUUGUUAGUUUUAGGUUGGGGUGACCGCGGAGUAAAAAAUAACCUCCACAAUGAAUGGGGACUUCCCCUAAGCAAAAAACCACAACUUUAUGCAUCAACAAAUUGACAUCAAUUGACCCAAUAUUUUGAUCAACGAAACAAGUUACCCUAGGGAUAACAGCGCAAUCCACUUCGAGAGCUCGUAUCAACAAGUGGGUUUACGACCUCGAUGUUGGAUCAGGGUACCCCAGUGGUGCAGCCGCUACUAAAGGUUCGUUUGUUCAACGAUUAAAACCCUA
rnacentral:rRNA from 1 species